GUAGAAAACAAAGAUGCUAAACUGACAGUUGACAGGUAGAAAACAAAGAUGCUAAACUGACAGUUGACAGGUAGAAAACAAAGAUGCUAAAGUGACAGUUGACAGGUAGAAAACAAAGAUGCUAAACUGACAGUUGACAGGUAGAAAACAAAGAUGCUAAAGUGACAGUUGACAGGUAGAAAACAAAGAUGCUAAAGUGACAGUUGACAGGUAGAAAACAAAGAUGCUAAAGUGACAGUUGACAGGUAGAAAACAAAGAUGCUAAAGUGACAGUUGACAGGUAGAAAACAAAAGAUGCUAAACUGACAGUUGACAGGUAGAAAACAAAGAUGCUAAACUGACAGUUGACAGGUAGAAAACAAAGAUGCUAAACUGACAGUUGACAGGUAGAAAAUAAAGAUGCUAAACUGACAGUUGACAGGUAGAAAACAAAGAUGCUAAACUGACAGUUGACAGGUAGAAAACAAAGAUGCUAAACUGACAGUUGACAGGUAGAAAACAAAGAUGCUAAACUGACAGUUGACAGGUAGAAAACAAAGAUGCUAAACUGACAGUUGACAGGUAGAAAACAAAGAUGCUAAAGUGACAGUUGACAGGUAGAAAACAAAGAUGCUAAAGUGACAGUUGACAGGUAGAAAACAAAGA